rnacentral:rRNA from 1 species
CUCUUUCGUCGGGGAAGAAAAUGACUGUACCCGAAUAAGAAGGUCCGGCUAACUUCGUGCCAGCAGCCGCGGUAAUACGAAGGGACCUAGCGUAGUUCGGAAUUACUGGGCUUAAAGAGCACGUAGGUGG